rnacentral:rRNA from 1 species
GAUGAACGCUAGCGGCAGGCCUAACACAUGCAAGUCGAGGGGCAGCACAGGUAGCAAUACUGGGUGGCGACCGGCGGAUGGGUGCGUAACGCGUAUGCAACCUACCAUUGAUUGGGGCAUAGCCCGAAGAAAUUCGGAUUAAUACUCCAUAAUAUUCAUCAAAGGCAUCUUUUAUGAAUUAAAGCUUUUGCGAUCAAUGAUGGGCAUGCGUGACAUUAGUUAGUUGGUGAGGUAACGGCUCACCAAAACGAUGAUGUCUAGGGGUUCUGAGAGGAUUAUCCCCCACACUGGUACUGAGACACGGGACCAGACUCCUACGGGAGGCAGCAGUGAGGAAUAUUGGUCAAUGGACGCAAGUCUGAACCAGCCAUGCCGCGUGCAGGAUGACGGCCCUAUGGGUUGUAAACUGCUUUUCCACGGGAAGAACCCUCCGACGUGUCGGAGACUGACGGUACCGUGGGAAUAAGCAUCGGCUAACUCCGUGCC